rnacentral:rRNA from 1 species
UUGGCGGUGUUUUAUUCCUAUUAGAGGAACUUGUCUUUUAAUCGAUAAUCCUCGUUUUAUCUUACUUUUUUUAAUUAUUUUGUAUAUCGCCGUUAUAAGUUUAUUUUUUUAGAAAUUUUAAUUUACUAAUAAUUUUAAUUUAUUUUAUUUCAGGUCAAGGUGCAGUUUAUAUUAAAGUAUUGAUUAGUUACACUUUUAUUUAGAUAAACUACUUUUUUUGUUUAUAAUUUUUGAUUUAGGUGGAUUUAAUAGUAAUUUUGGUAAUAAAUCCUUUUUGAUUUUUGGUUUUAAAAUGAGUACACAUCGCCCGUC